GCAUACCGAACUAAAGUAGGGAAAUGUGUGAGCCGGCUGCCGAGAAAAGCCGCUAUUGCUUGUACUGUACCCGUACCGUAAACCGACACAGGUGGAUGAGGAGAGAAUCCUAAGGCCGACGGAAGAAGCAUUGCUAAGGAACUCGGCAAAAUGACCCUGUAACUUCGGGAGAAAGGGUGCCUCGAAAGAGGCCGCAGAGAAUAGGCCCAAGCAACUGUUUAGCAAAAACACAGGUCUAUGCAAAACCGCAAGGUGAAGUAUAUGGGCUGACGCCUGCCCGGUGCUGGAAGGUUAAGGGGAGAUGUCAGGAGACGAAGCAUCGAACUUAAGCCCCAGUAAACGGCGGCCGUAACAAUAACGGUCCUAAGGUAGCGAAAUUCCUUGUCGGGUAAGUUCCGACCCGCACGAAAGGCGUAAUGAUUUGGGCGCUGUCUCGGCAAUGCAUCCGGUGAAAUUGAAGUGCCAGUGAAGAUGCUGGCUACCCGCGCCAGGACGGAAAGACCCCAUGGAGCUUUACUCCAGCUUGAUACUGGGAUUCGGUAUUGUAUGUACAGGAUAGGUGGGAGGCUGAGAAAUGGUGACGCCAGUCGCCAUGGAGCCGCUGUUGGGAUACCACCCUUGCAGUACUGGAUUUCUAACCAGCAGCCGUGAUCCGGCUGGGGGACAAUGUCAGGUGGGGAGUUUGACUGGGGCGGUCGCCUCCGAAAGGGUAUCGGAGGCGCUCAAAGGUUCCCUCAGAAUGGUCGGAAACCAUUCGAAGAGUGCAAAGGCAGAAGGGAGCUUGACUGCGACACCGACGGGUGGGGCAGGUACGAAAGUAGGACUUAGUGAUCCGGUGGUAUUAAGUGGGAAUGCCAUCGCUCAACGGAUAAAAGCUACCCUGGGAUAACAGGCUUAUCACUCCCAAGAGUUCACAUCGACGGAGUGGUUUGGCACCUCAAUGUCGGCUCAUCGCAUCCUGGGGCUGUAGUAGGUCCCAAGGGUUGGGCUGUUCGCCCAUUAAAGCGGUACGCGAGCUGGGUUCAGAACGUCGUGAGACAGUUCGGUCCCUAUCCGGCGUGGGCGUAGGAUAUUUGAGAGGAGCUGACCUUAGUACGAGAGGACCGGGUUGGACUGACCUCUGGUGCACCGGUUGUCAUGCCAAUGGCACAGCCGGGUAGCCAAGUCGGGAAGGGAUAAACGCUGAAGGCAUCUAAGCGUGAAGCCCCCCUCAAGAUGAGAUAUCCCCCGCAUAAGCGGUAAGACCCCUUGAAGACGACGAGGUAGAUAGGGCAGAGGUGGAAGUGCAGUAAUGUAUGGAGCUGACUGCUACUAAUAGGUCGAAGGCUUAGCAAA
rnacentral:rRNA from 1 species